AAUCAGUAGGUCAGGAAUGGGAUCUGACCUGCAUUUCUAAGUUUCCAAGUGAUGCUGAUGCUGCUGGUUGGUAGAACACACUUUGAGCAGAACAGUGGCCUGGCUCUGCCUCAUUUGGGGGGUUGCCCUUCCUUCAAGCUCAAUCUAUGACAUUUGGAUGGACCUGAGAUCUUCUUCUCCCAGGCUCCUGAGUGAACCCAGGGACUAGUCCUGGGCAAUCAGAAAGUGCAUCCCCCCCAAAUGGCCAUAGGUUUGGGGAUAUUUUCAUAAUUCAAUAUGAUCCAGUCAGAGCAAGCAAAUUCUGGGAUAUCUGCUAUAAGCACAAGGGUAAAACCAUUAUCCCCUCAAUUCCUACUGUGAGACUGACACACCCUCAGCACCCAGCUCUCCUGCACACCCAUUGCACUUUGGGAGCUCCUCUUGAUGGACUCUAUCCCUGCCUGCCUGGUGUUGUGGUGCCUCUGAGUCCUACACGGGGGUCCCAGGCUGAGAUCCUGGGCCUACCAUGCUGACAGGAGGCUCAGAGGAAGUCUGGAAAUACUUGUUGCAUGAUGGUGGGAAGGAUGCUCAUUAAAGUAAAAGGCUCAGGAAAUGGAUUAUUUUAGAUUAAUUUUGAAAUCAACUUGAGCUCAGACAAUUAUUUUAUUUCAACACUAUUGGAAUUCUUUCUGAAAGAUACAAGUCUGCUUUUCUGCCUCAGGAAAUCUAAAUUUGAACACUAGCAGCACCUGCGGAU